rnacentral:rRNA from 1 species
UACGUAGGGGGCAAGCGUUGUCCGGAAUCAUUGGGCGUAAAGCGCGUGUAGGUGGUCCGGCAAGUCGGCUGUGAAAGUCCAGGGCUCAACCCUGGGAUGCCGGUCGAUACUGCCGGACUAGAGUUCGGAAGAGGCGAGUGGAAUUCCCGGUGUAGCGGUGAAAUGCGCAGAUAUCGGGAGGAACACCAAUGGCGAAGGCAGCUCGCUGGGACGUUACUGACGCUGAGACGCGAAAGCGUGGGGAGCAAACAGG